rnacentral:rRNA from 1 species
GAUGAACGCUGGCGGCGUGCCUAAUACAUGCAAGUCGAGCGAACAGACGAGGAGCUUGCUCCUCUGACGUUAGCGGCGGACGGGUGAGUAACACGUGGAUAACCUACUUAUAAGACUGGGAUAACUUCGGGAAACCGGAGCUAAUACCGGAUAACAUGUUGAACCGCAUGGUUCAACAGUGAAAGAUGGUCUUGCUGUCACUUAUAGAUGGAUCCGCGCCGCAUUAGCUAGUUGGUAAGGUAACGGCUUACCAAGGCAACGAUGCGUAGCCGACCUGAGAGGGUGAUCGGCCACACUGGAACUGAGACACGGUCCAGACUCCUACGGGAGGCAGCAGUAGGGAAUCUUCCGCAAUGGGCGAAAGCCUGACGGAGCAACGCCGCGUGAGUGAAGAAGGUCUUCGGAUCGUAAAACUCUGUUAUUAGGGAAGAACAAAUGUGUAAGUAACUAUGCACGUCUUGACGGUACCUAAUCAGAAAGCCACGGCUAACUACGUG